rnacentral:lncRNA from 1 species
UCACAGUGGAUAAAUAGCAUACAUCUCCAAUAACCAUGUCAUAAGCAUCGUAAAUACAUCAUGAAAUAAAUCUACAAUCUCAACAUAUGAGUAAAAUAUCAACAACAUAGUCAAUACCAAAAUAAAAGAAAGACCAACAUCUUAAAUCAGAGCCGUAAACUAAAGACUUCAAAGCAGAUAAACGAGGUAGCUCCAAGCUAGCCUCCAACAACUCACCAAGCAAAGAUAAAAGAU